GGCUCAGGAUGAACGCUAGCGGCAGGCUUAACACAUGCAAGUCGAGGGGUAUAGGUUUUCGGACCUAGAGACCGGCGCACGGGUGCGUAACGCGUAUGCAAUCUACCUUUCACAGAGGGAUAGCCCAGAGAAAUUUGGAUUAAUACCUCAUAGUAUUAUGAAGUGGCAUCAUUUUAUAAUUAAAGAUUCAUCGGUAUGAGAUGGGCAUGCGUCUGAUUAGCUAGUUGGCGGUGUAACGGACCACCAAGGCGACGAUCAGUAGGGGUUCUGAGAGGAAGGUCCCCCACACUGGCACUGAGAUACGGGCCAGACUCCUACGGGAGGCAGCAGUAGGGAAUAUUGGGCAAUGGACGAGAGUCUGACCCAGCCAUGCCGCGUGCAGGAAGACGGCGUUCUGCGUUGUAAACUGCUUUUAUCUGGGAAGAAAAGGCCCAUGCGUGGGACAUUGCCGGUACCAGAUGAAUAAGCACCGGCUAACUCCGUG
rnacentral:rRNA from 1 species